rnacentral:rRNA from 1 species
UACGGUAGGGGGCAAGCGUUUGUCCGGAAUCAUUGGGCGUAAAGAGCGCGUAGGCGGUCCGGUAAGUCCGCUCUGAAAGUCCGGGGCUCAACCCCGGGAGGCGGGCGGAUACUGUCGGGCUAGAGUCCGGAAGAGGCGAGUGGAAUUCCUGGUGUAGCGGUGAAAUGCGCAGAUAUCAGGAGGAACACCAAUGGCGAAGGCAGCUCGCUGGGACGGUACUGACGCUGAGGCGCGAAAGCGUGGGGAGCAAACAGG